CCUAUGGGGGGCAGCAGGCGCGAAACCUCCGCAAUGUGAGAAAUCGCGACGGGGGGAUCCCAAGUGCCAUUCUUAACGGGAUGGCUUUUCAUUAGUGUAAAGAGCUUUUGGAAUAAGAGCUGGGCAAGACCGGUGCCAGCCGCCGCGGUAACACCGGCAGCUCUAGUGGUAGCAGUUUUUAUUGGGCCUAAAGCGUCCGUAGCCGGUUUAAUAAGUCUCUGGUGAAAUCCUGCAGCUUAACUGUGGGAAUUGCUGGAGAUACUAUUAGACUUGAGAUCGGGAGAGGUUAGAGGUACUCCCAGGGUAGAGGUGAAAUUCUGUAAUCCUGGGAGGACCGCCUGUUGCGAAGGCGUCUGACUGGAACGAUUCUGACGGUGAGGGACGAAAGCUAGGGGCGCGAACCGGAUUAGAUACCCACGUAGUCC
rnacentral:rRNA from 1 species